GGCUGAUCUGAAUGCAAAGGUGUUUCCAACUAGUUUGUAAGAAUGUAACUGGCCAAACACCAGUUACAGAUGUCUUUGUUCCUUCUCCACUCCACUGCUUCACUUGACUUGCCAAAA
ensembl:misc_RNA Y_RNA Y RNA